AUUUGAAGGUCCACCAUGCCCUGGGAAGGGCGUGUGUCUUGUUUGAGUCCUCAGAAGAACUCGGUGGGGUAGGUACUAUUAUUAGCAUUUCCAUUUUACAGGUGAAGAAAUUGAGACUCUGAGAAUUUAUGUAAUAUGCUGAAAGUCACCCAGCAUGGGGGUGGGUGGGGGCGGACUCAAACCCAGGUCCGUCUACUCUGUUGGAGACCUUUGGGACUUCUCUCUGACCCCGAAUCCUAAUCCUCAAGUUAAAUACCAAAACCUGCUCGUUGGAAGACACCUAAGUUCUGCCUUACAGGCAUGCUUGCAACGGAAACCCUGGAGACUUUGGGGAGCUGGUUUGAAAAGGCUGAAACGAAUCCGUAGCUGAUUACUGGCGUCCUUCCUCCAGCUUGGGAUGCUUGGCCCUUCGGUGGAAAGCAGGAGUCUGAGCACAAACAUAUCGAGUGUAGAUGCCUCAGUGGCUGUAUAGGGGCAGCGAAGAGAAAGAAAACACGUUCCAGAGAGACCCUAGCAAGUAGGAUCAGGAAGUCAUCUGUGAACUGACCUCAUUCACUCCACUCAUUUUACUGACAAAGAAACUGAGGCUGAGAGCACGCCAGCGGGGUUAGCAGGAUUCACCAGAGGCACCGGUUGGGCCUCUGCGCGCCUGCUUGACUGUUCUGACUUUGAACAGGUUUAUUCAGCUGCUGUCUGCUAAGCCCCACAGAAAAGGACAAAGGCUGCUGAUCGGCCUUUUAUGGCUUAUUGGAAACCGGUGGUCCGCACUGAAGCUCUGGGUUUUUGAAAAUGCGGGUGAAAGGUACCUCCGGCCCUCCCCGCGAGUCCAAACAAGGAUUGGAAAGAGGCUGUGGAGGGGAGAGAGCGAGGAAGAGGCCUCAGACGAUACAAAUGACUGCAGAACUGGAAGAUAAAUCUCUUUGCAGCUAGAACACAAGGUCUGUAUUGAAAUGGAAACUCAUCAGAGAGACCUUCUAAUGACCUGAACAAAACACCCAACUCCCUUCCAUUUAUGUCACUGUCUAGCUCUUUAGCCUAAUGUAUUUUUCUUCAUAGUUAACACUCACCACUAAUUGAUACAGUAGAAUAUUGGAUUUCAAUAAAUAUUUGUUGAAAGAACAAAAGAAGAUAUUUGUCUAGAGGAAAUGGAAGAGUCAGUAUUUGAAGCCAGAACUAUGUGCUUCUAUAUCUUGUUUCAAACUAUUAUAUGCCACUGUUUCCCUACACAACUUUCUGUUCCAGUCAAACUAUGUUAGUGUCCAUGGAAGAAUCUGGUACCAGUAAGAUGAUGUGGUUUUUUUUUUUUUAUCCUGAAUCACCUUAUGUGAACAUACAGCCAAACAAACACCAAGAAAUUCUGAGUAAUAUAUGUCAAACACACUUAUAAAUGCAUAAAAUAGGCUCACAAAGUAUAGGAAGGC